rnacentral:rRNA from 1 species
GCUUGUCUCAAAGAUUAAGCCAUGCAUGUCUUAGUGUAAAUAACUCUUAUGAAACUGCGAAUGGCUCAUUAAAUCAGUUAUCGUUUAUUUGAUGGUCCCUUACUACAUGGAUAACCGUAGUAAUUCUAGAGCUAAUACAUGCUGUAAAGCCCGACUUCUCGGAAGGGCCGUAUUUAUUAGAUAACAGACCAAUAUUCCUCGUGUCUAUUGUGGUGAAUCAUAGUAACUGAUCGGAUCGCAUGGGCUACGCCCGCGACAAACCAUUCAAGUUUCUGCCCCAUCAGCUUUCGAUGGUAGUGUAUUGGACUACCAUGGCUUUUACGGGUAACGGAGGAUUAGGGUUCGAUUCCGGAGAGGGAGCCUGAGAAACGGCUACCACAUCUAAGGAAGGCAGCAGG